CCUACGGGAGGCAGCAGUGGGGAAUAUUGGACAAUGGGGGUAACCCUGAUCCAGCCAUGCCGCGUGUGUGAAGAAGGCCCUCGGGUUGUAAAGCACUUUCAGUGAGGAAGAACGCCUGGUGGUUAAUACCCAUCAGGAAAGACAUCACUCACAGAAGAAGCACCGGCUAACUCCGUGCCAGCAGCCGCGGUAAUACGGAGGGUGCGAGCGUUAAUCGGAAUUACUGGGCGUAAAGCGCGCGUAGGUGGCUUGAUAAGCCGGUUGUGAAAGCCCCGGGCUCAACCUGGGAACGGCAUCCGGAACUGUCAAGCUAGAGUGCAGGAGAGGAAGGUAGAAUUCCCGGUGUAGCGGUGAAAUGCGUAGAGAUCGGGAGGAAUACCAGUGGCGAAGGCGGCCUUCUGGACUGACACUGACACUGAGGUGCGAAAGCGUGGGUAGCAAACAGGAUUAGAUACCCCUGUAGUC
rnacentral:rRNA from 1 species